rnacentral:rRNA from 1 species
GACGAACGCUGGCGGCGUGCUUAACACAUGCAAGUCGAACGGAAAGGCCCUGCUUUUGUGGGGUGCUCGUGUGGCGAACGGGUGUGUAACACGUGAGUAACCUGCCCUUGACUUUGGGAUAACUUCAGGAAACUGGGGCUAAUACCGGAUAGGAGCUCCUGCUGCAUGGUGGGGGUCGGAAAAUUUCGGUGGUUGGGGAUGGUCUCGCGGCUUAUCAGCUUGUUGGUGGGGUAGUGGCUUACCAAGGUUUUGACGGGUAGCCGGCCUGGGAGGGUGACCGGCGACAUUGGGACUGAGAUACGGCCCAGACUCCUACGGGAGGCAGCAGGGGAGAAUAUUGCACAAUGGGCGGAAGCCUGAUGCAGCAACGCCGCGUGCGGGAUGACGGCCUUCGGGUUGUAAACCGCUUUCGCAGGUGACGAAGCGUGAGUGACGGUAAUGGGUAAAGAAGCACCGGCUAACUACGUG